rnacentral:SRP_RNA from 1 species
GCCGGGUGCGGUGGCUCAUGCCUGUAAUCCCAGCACUUUGGGAGGCCGAGGCGGGCGGAUCACCUGAGGUCAGGAGUUCAAGACCAGCCUGGCCAACAUGGUGAAACCCCGUCUCUU